rnacentral:rRNA from 1 species
UACGUAGGGACCGAGCGUUGUCCGGAAUCAUUGGGCGUAAAGAGCGUGUAGGCGGCUAUUUAAGUCCUGCGUGAAAUCCUGCGGCUCAACCGCAGACGGUCGUGGGAAACUGGAUGGCUAGAGUGCGGGAGAGGAGAGUGGAAUUCCCGGUGUAGCGGUGAAAUGCGCAGAUAUCGGGAGGAACACCGGUGGCGAAGGCGGUGCUCUGGGCCGGUACUGACGCUGAGGAGCGAAAGCGUGGGUAGCAAACAGG